AGCCUACGGUACCAUGCUAUCUAUUCUUUUCAACUACACAAUACUUUCCUGAUUAUUUUGGCUGUGCCAUGGAGGAAAACAUUUUGUAACAGCUCUACUGGAAAUUCUAUUCCAAUUUCCUUUAUAUUCCUCUUGAUGCUUUCUGAUACUGUUCCGAAGGACCCAAAACCCCUACAAUAACC